rnacentral:rRNA from 1 species
ACGCACGCUGGCGGCAUGCCUCACACAUGCCAGUCGCACGAGACCUUCGGGUCUAGUGGCGCACGGGUGCGUAACGCGUGGGAACCUGCCCUUAGGUUCGGAAUAACUCCCCGAAAGGGGUGCUAAUACCGGAUAAUGUCUUCGGACCAAAGAUUUAUCGCCUUUGGAUGGGCCCGCGUUGGAUUAGCUAGUUGGUAGGGUAAAAGCCUACCAAGGCGACGAUCCAUAGCUGGUCUGAGAGGAUGAUCAGCCACACUGGGACUGAGACACGGCCCAGACUCCUACGGGAGGCAGCAGUGGGGAAUAUUGGACAAUGGGCGAAAGCCUGAUCCAGCAAUGCCGCGUGAGUGAUGAAGGCCUUAGGGUUGUAAAGCUCUUUUACCCGGGAUGAUAAUGACAGUACCGGGAGAAUAAGCUCCGGCUAACUCCGUG